UUCUGUGUCAUGGUUACCAGUCGUGAUAGUGAAUUCACAAUGAUCCAGACACACUGUCUUCUCAACAGCAACCAACUGCCCCCUGGUGAGCCAUAGCAUGCAUUUAAAAGAUGGAAGCAGGAUUUUGAGGUGAACUUUGUGAACAGAGAACACGGCAAUAUGGAACAUGAGCCUGAAACUCAACAGCACCAUGCUGGUUUGGUGAUGAGAAUUCUUUGCUGAGCCUAGUGACAAGGGAACAAAGAAGAUGAAAGCAUGGUCAUCUGCAACCCACCACUACUGUAGUGGAGUGAUAUUUUACCAUCGGUGAGAAUUUGGGCCAGGCAACCAACUUCUGUGGGUCUGUGUGUCCUCGCUGUAGAAUGAGGGUUAUUGAGCAAGAUCAUCUCUAGGGAUCUUUCCAACUCUAAAGCUAUGAUAAGUGCUUCUUUCCAAGGCUCCAUCAUGUGUCUUCUUUGUCUAAAAUCUCCUGGGGUUCGACACCUGGUUGGUUGAUCUUAAAGUCUGACCCAUGCUAGGUUACUAAUCUUGGAAAAUUAACAGGCAAAUGAGAACAAAUAUGAUGGUGUCAAAAUAAAGAAGGAAAAAAAGACAAGCUUUCUACACAAAGGAAAAUGCCUUUAUGUAUGAAGAAUAGACUCUU